rnacentral:rRNA from 1 species
AUUGAACGCUGGCGGCAGGCUUAACACAUGCAAGUCGAACGAGUGGCGGACGGGUGAGUAAUGCUUGGGAAUCUAGCUUAUGGAGGGGGAUAACUACGGGAAACUGUAGCUAAUACCGCGUACCAUAGGAUGAGCCCAAGUGGGAUUAGGUAGUUGGUGAGGUAAAGGCUCAACAAGCAGCCGAUCUCUAGAUGGUCUGAGAGGGUGACCAGCCACACGGUGACUGAGACACGGCCCAGACUCCUACGGGAGGCAACAGUGGGGAAUAUUGCGCAAUGGGGGCAACCUGACGCAGCCAUGCCGCGUGAAUGAAGAAGUCCUUCGGGUUGUAAAGUUCUUUCGGUAGCGAGGCGUUAACUACAGAAGAAGCACCGGCUAACUCCGUGCCAGCCGCCGCGGUAAUAC